ACAUAACAAAAUCUUCUUCACCCCAAAUCAUCCCGUUGCUCCUUCAAACUCCGGUCCGAGCAAUGUCAUGGUACCGAAGAAACCAAACCUCGAUUACAAAAGCCAAUCGAAGAGUUCAUCUGAGAUCUUCUUCCUCCAUUUUUUUCCUCGCACAGUUUCAGUGACCGAUGGAUCAAACUUUCAGAUUAUUUGGGAUAAAGUUGGAGAAACAGAAAUUGAUAGGGAUUGCUUGAGCUUGAGCGUGAAUGUUUUGGAAGUAUAUAGCACAAAAGUUGACCAAGCUAAGGCAAGCAAUAGCUGAUGUUGAAUCAUGGGGGAACGUCUUGUGCAUAUUAGCAGUCUGAUCAAAGCGUUGGGAGCUUGGGACGAUUCUUCUGAACUGGAAUAGAUGCAAAAGAGGUAAAUUGAUAGAAGGAACCAGUUCACUGUUGUCCUGGAGGAAGCAAAUAGUAUUGCUAAUGAUAUCAAAGGUGAAGGAGAACAUGUUCAGUCUAAGCCACUUCUCGAUGAUACUGACUUGUCUAUGAGAAAGCUUGAAGACCAGCUGCAAGCACUUGAGAAGGAAAAGAGUGAUCGUGUGGAGACGAUUCGGAAGCACUUGUUUACUUUUGUAUUCGAUAGCAGGAAGAUUGAUUUUCAGUUUCUUGCUAACAUUCUGAAGUUGCUACCGUGAUCGUGCAUGAGGUACAAAACCUUUAAUCCUCUCGACAUGUGGAAUCUGACAUGUUGGUACUGUGCUGUUUGAUCAUUUUCUGGUAGUAGAUUCUGAAGUUGCUACUGUCAUCUGACAUGAGGUACGUAGUCGUACACAACCUCUAAUCUUCUGGAUGUAUCAAAAAUAAGAAAAAUGGCGUUUGAUAGUUUCCAUUUCGAAAAUGUACUAUGUUAAUGUAGAGGCUGCUCGUUAAUCCGAAAUUGAUUAAGGCAGUUGCUGGGGUUGAAUUCUUACUUUUAGUGCUUUUAUUCGAUCCUGCUUUUACUUUAUUUUUUUGGCUCUUUGGAGGGGUUCCGUCUCUGGUUUCACUGAAGCAGUUUCUCAAAUACCUCUUGUUCUUCUCAGUGGCAGCUUUUUCCUAAGCAUAUACGGCAUUUAGAUCCUAGUUUCCGUCUAUUCCCAUCGUAUAGCCAGAUUCUCUCUUUCUCUCUGAUUGCUUGCUAAGUCUCAUUGAGUUUAUGUGCUUAAAACGCCUUGUGCCCAGAUUUGUUUGAUAGAAACUGGUAUAAUUUAUCGGUUUGUGUUAGAAUCGUAGAUGUUUUCUCUCCAUUAAAGAUUGUAUAAUUCCCAUUAAUCCCUAGAUUUAUACCUGACAUUGUUCUCCGUGUGUAUCAAUAGUUACCUGGGACUAGUGGUCGUUGCUGACUUAUUGAAUAGAUUUCAUUCUAUUAAAAUAUUAUUGUUAGACCAAAACUUAUGAUGACUUUAUUAUGCCUUUAUUAUUCAUUAGACUACAUUGUAUUUUACCAUGUUCGCGAGGAAGAUUUUGUUGUAGGAUGUUAUAACUUAACUCAUUUAUAUAUACAUCUAAGCGUAUUCCGUCUCUCUGUGUAAAGUCUUUACAAGAUCUUGUUUGUAUCGUUUUGUACAUUAGUUUAUAAAGUUGGAGAAACAGAUACUGAUAGGGAUGAUACGAUGUUGCUUGAGCUUGAGCGUGAAUGUUUUGGAAGUAUAAAGAAGAAAAGUUGA